rnacentral:rRNA from 1 species
UCUGGUUGAUCCUGGCGGAGGUCACUGCUAUCGGUGUCCGAUUAAGCCAUGCGAGUCGUGAGGGGUUAUGCCCUCGGCGGACUGCUCAGUAACACGUGGACAAUCUGCCCAAGAGUCCGGGAUAACCCCGGGAAACUGGGGAUAAGACCGGAUAGAUCACUUCUGCUGGAAUGCUUAGUGGUUUAAACGUGAGGCUCUUGGAUGGGUCUGCGGCGGAUUAGGUUGACGCCGGUGUAACGUACCGGCGUGCCUGUAAUCCGUACGGGUUGUGGGAGCAAGAGCCCGGAGAUGGAUUCUGAGACACGAAUCCAGGCCCUACGGGGCGCAGCAGGCGCGAAAACUCUACAAUGCAGGCAACUGCGAUAGGGGGACAUCGAGUGGCAUCCACCUUGGGUGCCUGUCCCACCGUCUAAAAAACGGUGGUUAGCAAGGGCCGGGUAAGACCGGUGCCAGCCGCCGCGGUAAUACCGGCGGCUCGAGUGGUGGCCGAUAUUAUUGAGUCUAAAGGGUCCGUAGCCGGCUUUGCAAGUCCCCUGGGAAAUCCAGCGGCUUAACCGUUGGUCGUCCAUGGGAUACUACAUUGCUUGGGACUGGGAGAGGUGGGAGGUACUCGGGGGGUAGGGGUGAAAUCCUGUAAUCCUCCGGGGACCACCGGUGGCGAAGGCGUCCUACCAGAACAGGUCCGACGGUGAGGGACGAAAGCUAGGGGCACGAACCGGAUUAGAUACCCGGGUAGUCCUAGCCGUAAACGAUGCCCGCUAGGUGUCACGGCGGUCGUGAAUCGCCGUGGUGCCGUAGGGAAGCCGCGAAGCGGGCCACUUGGGAAGUACGACCGCAAGGUUGAAACUUAAAGGAAUUGGCGGGGGAGCACCACAACGGGUGGAGCCUGCGGUUUAAUUGGAUUCAACGCCGGGAAGCUUACCGGGAUCGACAGUUGGAUGAAGGCCAGGCUGAAGACCUUGCCGGACUAGCUGAGAGGAGGUGCAUGGCCGUCGUCAGUUCGUACCGUGAGGCGUCCUGUUAAGUCAGGCAACGAGCGAGACCCA